CUGUACUUGUCCAUCCUUGAUGAUGAGCUAUGGGAAGAGUUCAUCCCUUGAAUUUUGUAUUCCAAUAUUUCAUGGAUCAAAAACUCAUAUCAUAAACUCUGCGCUCGGGGUCUUGGAUGUGAGCAAACUUGGCGAUUUCGUCGUCCGGCGCCUGGAAGGGGUCGCGCCGGUUGCCGGUGUGGGGCGCCAGGUGGGCCACGUACAGGAACAGUGACGACUGGUCGCUCUGGUGGUUGUCGAUGAUCCUCACCGCCUCCUCGGUGAACAGGUCGGUCGAGUACUUGCCUUGCGCCGACCAGUCUACCGUGUUGUUCCGCCUCAUGUCGUAGCCGUCGUAGGGGGCAAACUGCAAAAGGCAUCAACUUCAGGUUGGUGAUGCGAAUUUCCUUCCACCUUGAGCAUCGCACUCAUCAGGACAAAGAUUAGAACGGCUCUGUUUAUCAUGACUCCAGUUCGAUGAUCCUAGUCCCUGCAACACCACAUUUACAAAAUCGUAAGUAACAUUAAUCAUUCAAAAUUUGGGUGUAAAGAUUAUCAUUUACAUUGUACAAUAUAAGAUUAUUGAAAUAUAUUCUUCUCGUAACUAUCCGUUUAGGACAGGGGACUCAUAUUCUGCGAUCCAGAUUCUGGUUGCUGCUUCUCUUGAAUGGACGCCAAUAUUUAUUGAAAUAUUAGUGAGUUUACAGAUCAAAUCUCAGUUGAUUUUAUUUUCUUUAUUGUAUGGAUGUAAAGCACAAAACC